rnacentral:rRNA from 1 species
CAGUCGCCGCGGGAACACGGAGGGGGCUAGCGUUGUUCGGAAUUACUGGGCGUAAAGCGCACGUAGGCGGCUUGGUAAGUUAGAGGUGAAAGCCCGGAGCUCAACUCCGGAAUUGCCUUUAAGACUGCCGAGCUAGUAGGUGAGAGAGGUAAGUGGAAUUCCGAGUGUAGAGGUGAAAUUCGUAGAUAUUCGGAAGAACACCCGUGGCGAAGGCGGCUUACUGGCUCAUUCUAGACGCUGAGGUGCGAAAGCGUGGGGAGCAAACAGGAUUAGAUACCCGUGUAGUCCCUGUCUCUUAUAC